CAGCCGCCGCGGUAAUACCGGCGGCCCGAGUGGUGGCCGCUAUUAUUGGGCUUAAAGCGUCCGUAGCCGGGUUGGGAAGUCCUCCGGGAAAUCUGGCCGCUUAACGGUCAGAAUGCCGGAGGAUACUCCCAGCCUAGGGAGCGGGAGAGGCCGAGGGUAUUCCCGGAGUAGGGGUGAAAUCCUAUAAUCCCGGGAGGACCACCUGUGGCGAAGGCGCUCGGCUGGAACGCGUCCGACGGUGAGGGACGAAGGCCAGGGGAGCAAACCGGAUUAGAUACCCGGGUAGUCCUGGCUGUAAACGAUGCGGACUUUGUGUCGGACAAGCUAUGAGCUUGUCCGGUGCCGGAGGGAAACCGAUAAGUCCGCCGCCUGGGGAGUACGGCCGCAAGGCUGAAACUUAAAGGAAUUGGCGGG
rnacentral:rRNA from 1 species